rnacentral:rRNA from 1 species
UACGUAGGGGGCGAGCGUUGUCCGGAUUUAUUGGGCGUAAAGAGCGUGUAGGCGGCCAGACAGGUCUGCUGUGAAAACUCGAGGCUCAACCUCGAGACGCCGGUGGAAACCGUCUGGCUAGAGUGCGGGAGAGGAAAGUGGAAUUCCUGGUGUAGCGGUGAAGUGCGCAGAUAUCAGGAGGAACACCGGUGGCGAAGGCGGGUCUCUGGGAAGUAACUGACGCUGAGAAGCGAAAGCAUGGGUAGCAAACAGG